UACAAAAGUGUCUAGUAGUGUGCAGGU
rnacentral:piRNA from 1 species